CUCUCACUCGCGCAAAGCCACCAUCCCUUCUCUCAUCGUCUGCGUUGAUCCCCAGCUCGUGAGCGCCAUCUUCUUCCCUGACGUGUCGCGGGCGUCAAUCGACGAAUGGCCUCGUGCCCUAGCUGUUCCUCUUAACCAUUGGCUGCUGUUGGGCCGACGCUACAGCAUAGGCGUCGCCAUUUACCCCUCCGAGUCGUGCCUUAGAUUCCAUCACGACGCCGACUCCCGAUCCGCCGAUUUCCCCCUUUCUUCCUCAGCCAUCUCUGCACGGACACACCCCGAUGCCACCGCUGGCCAAGCUUCUUCUUUCCUUUCUCUAAGUCACCUCUCUCUUGCGGGGCGCAGCAACCCUCACUGCUGAAGUCGCCGAUCGUUUGGCACCAUCUGAGGUGUAGCCGUCGGUCUCCACCCUCUGGCCACAAGAAGAUCCGUACACGCGGUGACCCCAUCCCAUACCUGAUCGCCGACCACAGUGUUCAUUCGAGCGGCUCACUAAUUGUAGGUUCAAGGCUGCAGAAUCUUGGCGAUCACUGUUUUUCCUCCCUGCCUGAUCACCAGAAACUGUCUCCCUAUCAAUAUCCUGGCCGCCGAUGAUCCCUGGGGCAUAGUGGCAGCUGGGGGACAGAUCUGUAACUGUCGGAGAGGGUUGAGGUAACAAAUUAACCCUAGUAGCAGGUUCAGGUGUUUGAGAUGUUAGAUAUCUGAUUUGGGGUAUCUGUUUGGGUGGUUAGCAUCAUCAUCCAGCUCUGACCACCCAUUUCCAACAUCAAACUUCUCCAAUCGUGGGUUAGCAAUAGCACGAUCGAAUUUGGGUGAGUUGUUGGAUUGGUUUGAUUCAUUAUGUAGUAGUUUGAUAAUUAAGCGAUGGAUUGGUUAUUGGAGUAGGGAAAAAAAGAUUAGUGGAUGAGUAGAUAUUGAUAAAUAAGGAGUUAAACUAAUAUAAGGAAGAUGAUGAAUUUAAUUAGGUGAAACUAGUUUAACUCUGGUUGAGGUGGUUAAUCAGUAAUCGUAUUCGACUAAGGUUAUCGUAAAUAGGUUAGGGGAUUUGAUUUAGUUAUUUAACUUAUAAGUAAUUAUCUAAAUCCGUAUGUUAUGAUUUACAGGACUUUGAUUCGAGACAAGUGUCUCGACGUGGGAUCUAUAUGAUACAAUCUUCUUUUUGAGGCGGGUACCUUUGACUUAUCUCUUUUGAUAUUGUCAUUUUGAUAUACGUAGUAGGUUAUAUAUUAGUAGUAAUAAUUAUGUUUAUAUAUGCUUUGGUAUGUGACUACUUGAUAUCCGUAGUAUGUCCUUAUUGAUGUCUGUUUUGCAUUAUUGCUUAUGUCCUCUUGAUUCUUGCAUUGUGUACUUACAUAGUAACAUACAAUGCAUUACCGGAUACAGGUCUAGUUACUAGAUAUACUUGGCAUAUGUACCUAGUGUUAUUACUUGGCAUGUGUACCUAGGUUUAUUACUUGGCAUGUGUACCUAUGUUUACUAUCUGACAUAUGCACCUAGAUCAUUGUUAUGGACUCGGUUUUCCUUUUGGUACACAUUAUGAGGAGGUUGAUAUUUUCAGGAGUUACAUGCUUUAGCGUCAUGCACAAUUUUACAUGAUUGCAUGCUGAGAGAUUGUCGACUCUAUUGUUGUUGAACACAUCGCCAGUUACAUGAUCUGCAUAUACAACCACUCAUGGGUUAGUGGUAUAUCAAGUAGGGUGUGUGCAGUUUUCUCUGUCACGGCUCCGCUAGUACGCUCAUAGGUAAUGUGACUACAGCAUAGUAGCGGGCAGGGAUCCCUCCUCUUGACUAUGACAAAGGGAGAUGAGAGCUUUGACUCCCCCACUAUGUUUGGGGUAGGAGGAUAGGUGUACCUCGACAGCAUCCUGUCCAUUCGGUCACUCAAGAGAAGUGAUGGCAGAGUGCACAGUUGUCAUAGUCAUACCCACUCAGUCUCACCAUCGCGUAUGAGAUGGCUGACUGACGUCAGGGGUGGCCAUGUCAUUUGUAUCAUAUGCAUGAAUUACAUUUAUUACUUGUGAUUAUUGCAUUUUUGUACGCUACAUUUUGGUGGUUGCAUAUGAUUGACAUGCAUACAGGAGACAUUAUAUAUUGGUCUGAUGACCCUGCUACUGUUAGUGAGGUUCACACCCUUAUGUCAGGAUAAGAGGCUCUGGUUAGCAUAUAAAUCUGUCGUGUCGCUUGGAGUAUCUUAUCUGCAAGUCCCACUUCACAUCCGAGGACUGUUUCCGGUUUUACCUCUACUUUACUUGUCUUAUAUUUUUGGUGGACUUGAUGUUGUAUAAAUUUGACUUUGUUUUUGGUUUUGCUAUGUGGAGUUGUAAUUAUUUUUUUGUGGUUGUGUAAGCCUAGCCGAUUAAUAGUCUUUGUUGUUUCUGUU